rnacentral:rRNA from 1 species
GACGAACGCUGGCGGCGUGCUUAACACAUGCAAGUCGAACGGAAAGGCCCUGCUUUUGUGGGGUGCUCGAGUGGCGAACGGGUGAGUAACACGUGAGUAACCUGCCCUUGACUUUGUGAUAACUUCAGGAAACUGGGGCUCAUACCGGAUAGGAGCUCCUGCAGCACAGUGGGGGUUGGAAAGUUUCGGCGGUUGGGGAUGGACUCGCGGCUUAUCAGCUUGUUGGUGGGGUAGUGGCUUUCCAAGGCUUUGACGGGUAGCCGGCCUGGGAGGGUGGCCGGCCACCUUGGGACUGAGAUACGGCCCAGAAUCCUACGGGAGGCAGCAGUGGGGAAUAUUGCACAGUGGGCGGACGCCUGAUGCAGCAACGCCGCGUGCGGGAUGACGGCCUUCGGGUUGUAAACCGCUUUCGCCUGUGGCGAAGCGUGAGUGACGGUAAUGGGUAAAGAAGCACCGGCUAACUACGUG